rnacentral:rRNA from 1 species
UACGUAGGGUCCGAGCGUUGUCCGGAAUUACUGGGCGUAAAGAGCUCGUAGGUGGUUUGUCGCGUUGUUCGUGAAAACUCACAGCUCAACUGUGGGCGUGCGGGCGAUACGGGCAGACUAGAGUACUGCAGGGGAGACUGGAAUUCCUGGUGUAGCGGUGGAAUGCGCAGAUAUCGGGAGGAACACCGGUGGCGAAGGCGGUUCUCUGGGCCUUACCUGACGCUGAGGAGCGAAAGCGUGGGGAGCGAACAGG